rnacentral:rRNA from 1 species
UACGUAGGGUGCAAGCGUUGUCCGGAUUUAUUGGGUUUAAAGGGUACGUAGGCUGGUUAAUAAGUCUUGGGUGAAAGCUUACAGCUCAACUGUAAGACUGCCUGAGAUACUGUUAAUCUUGAGUGUACUUGAGGCUACUGGAAUUGGUAGUGUAGCGGUGAAAUGCAUAGAUACUACCAGGAACACCAAUUGCGAAGGCAGGUAGCUUGGGUACAACUGACGCUGAUGUACGAAAGUGUGGGGAGCGAACAGG